rnacentral:rRNA from 1 species
UGGGGAAUUUUGGACAAUGGGCGAAAGCCUGAUCCAGCAAUGCCGCGUGUGUGAAGAAGGCCUUCGGGUUGUAAAGCACUUUUGUCCGGAAAGAAAUCCUUGGCUCUAAUACAGUCGGGGGAUGACGGUACCGGAAGAAUAAGCACCGGCUAACUACGUGCCAGCAGCCGCGGUAAUACGUAGGGUGCAAGCGUUAAUCGGAAUUACUGGGCGUAAAGCGUGCGCAGGCGGUUUGCUAAGACCGAUGUGAAAUCCCCGGGCUCAACCUGGGAACUGCAUUGGUGACUGGCAGGCUAGAGUAUGGCAGAGGGGGGUAGAGUUCCACGUGUAGCAGUGAAAUGCGUAGAGAUGUGGAGGAAUACCGAUGGCGAAGGCAGCCCCCUGGGCCAAUACUGACGCUCAUGCACGAAAGCGUGGGGAGCAAACAGGAUUAGAUACCCUGGUAGUCCACGCCCUAAACGAUGUCAACUAGUUGUUGGGGAUUCAUUUCCUUAGUAACGUAGCUAACGCGUGAAGUUGACCGCCUGGGGAGUACGGUCGCAAGAUUAAAACUUAAAUGAAUUGACGGGGUCAUAGCUGUUUCCU